CGUCCCCCUGCGCAGGUGCGCCUCGCGGUUUGUGCGUGUUGGCGCACGCGCACCGUUGCCGCGCCGCCCCCGCUUCCAGUGCGUGCCCGGGUCCCUGCUGGUCGUUGUUCUCAGGUCCUGGCGGCUGGCGGGCCCAGAGCCGGCUCCUCGGGCCCAGUGGCCUCGUGAGGUGGCGAGGAGGGACCCCGGGAGAGGAGCGCGCCGGAGGAGAAGCCCCCGGCCCGGAGCCUCGGGAGCCCGGGGCCGGUCCGCGAGUCCCGACGGGGUCCGCCUCCACUGUCACAGUCCUGCACGUUGUUCCAAGAGCAGCGGAAAAUGAAUCGGUCUCCGACUCCCAGGAGUGUGACACGAAAACUCUCUUGAGCUCGUUCUAGAAGACGCUGGGUUCUUCCCGAUCAUCUGCACAAGAGGCUUCUCCCUCCCUUCCUCACGGCUGUCGUCAGCGUGUGGAUUGACCUCCUGUGCAACAUCCUCAUCUCUCCUGGGCUCUGUGAUCUGGAAGUAAGAGAAGGAGCAAGGACGUCAGAUUUCAAAGUGGCAACUGUCCAGAUACAAAGGUUUUUCACAUUCUUAGUUCUCACCAGAAUUGAGACUCAUUUAUGAUUGCAGUUUUAUCUCAAAUUCUCCAUUCGGAGCCCCAAUCCUGAACCAUUCAUUGUUUUCAAGUGCGAUUCUUGGAGUUUGGUGAGCCUGACUGCAAAAACUACUGAAUACACCUAAGGCCAGGCCCAGUCAUCUGCUUUAUAGCCAAGACUCCAGGUGAUUCUGCUCAGGGAGCUGGCAUUUGGAGAAUGCUGCUUUAGUCUUAACUCACCUUGGUCCUUUGGCACCACUUAAAUUCUGAACUUGGAACCACACUACAGACAUCACUGACCGGUCAGCAUCGUGGACCAGGAGACCUGCUGCCUGUUCCCUAAUGCUAAUCCUGGAUCCUAAUGUCUAUUUUAUUAUUAAUUUUUAAUUGACUUAUUUUCUUUAUUUUAUUUUUGGCUGCAUUGGGUCUUUGUUGCUGCGCGUGGGCUUUCUCUAGUUGUGGUGAGCGAGGACCACUCUCCGUUGCUUCUCAUGACGCGUCUCUUGUGGCGGAGCACGGGCUCUAGGCGCACAGGCUCAGUAGUUGUGGCUUGCGGGCUCUAGAGUACAGGCUCAGUAGUUGUGGCUCGUGGGCUCUAGAGCGCAGGCUCAGUAGUUGUGGCGCACGGGCUUAGUUGCGCCACGGCAUGCGGGGUCUUCCCGGACGAGGGCUCGAACCCGUGUGCCCUGCGUUGGCAGGCGGAUUCUUAACCACUGAGCCACCAGGGAAGUCCCUGGAUCCUAAUGUUUAAAUAAUAGUCAGUCCUAGACUUGGUUAGUGUUAUGGGCUGAAUGUUUGUGUCCCCCCAAAUUCUUAUGUUGAAAUCUUAAAAUCUUAACCGCUCAGGGGCUGGUAUUAGGAGGGUGGGGUCUUUGGGAGGUUAUUAGGUCAUGGGGUAGAGCCCUCAUGAAUGAGAUUAUUGCCCUUGUAAAAGAGACUGUGCUCUGUUGUUUAUAAGCCACGCAGGCUGUAGUAUCUUGUUAGGGCAGGUCGAACGGACUAAGGCAGCUAGUUUGCAAGAUUUCAACCAAAUGUUUGCUCAAUCCUCUGCCCACAUCUAGAACUCUAAUGUGUCCAUUGUAAUAAGCCAUGCUGAAGAUGGCAUUCCUUAACCUUCACUCGUUCUGAUAAACCGUCUUGACCAUAAAGUUGAGGGGGAAAAGGUGAAUUGUACAAAAGGAAUCAUUGGUGAUCUGGCCGUAAGCAAUUGGAAAGUAAAUUUGGAUGAAAAUAAAGCUAGUCAUAA
rnacentral:lncRNA from 1 species